GGAUAACCUGCCCUUGGGACCGGGGUAACCCCGGGAAACUGGGGAUAAUACCGGAUAACGCAUAUCUGCUGGAAUGCUUUAUGCGUAAAAUGGAUUUGUCUGCCCAAGGAUGGGUCUGCGGCCUAUCAGGUAGUAGUGGGUGUAAUGUACCUACUAGCCUACGACGGGUACGGGUUGUGAGAGCAAGAGCCCGGAGAUGGAUUCUGAGACAUGAAUCCAGGCCCUACGGGGCGCAGCAGGCGCGAAAACUUUACAAUGCGGGAAACCGUGAUAAGGGGACACCGAGUGCCAGCAUCAUAUGUUGGCUGUCCAGAUGUGUAAAAUACAUCUGUUAGCAAGGGCCGGGCAAGACCGGUGCCAGCCGCCGCGGUAACACCGGCGGCCCGAGUGGUGAUCGUGAUUAUUGGGUCUAAAGGGUCCGUAGCCGGUUUGGUCAGUCCUCCGGGAAAUCUGACGGCUCAACCGUUAGGCUUUCGGUGGAUACUGCCAGACUUGGAACCGGGAGAGGUAAGAGGUACUACAGGGGUAGGAGUGAAAUCUUGUAAUCCCUGUGAGAUCACCUGUGGCGAAGGCGUCUUACCAGAACGGGUUCGACGGUGAGGGACGAAAGCUGGGGGCACGAACCGGAUUAGAUACCCGGGUAGUCCCAGCCGUAAACGAUGCUCGCUAGGUGUCAGGCAUGGCGCGACCGUGUCUGGUGCCGCAGGGAAGCCGUGAAGCGAGCCACCUGGGAAGUACGGCCGCAAGGCUGAAACU
rnacentral:rRNA from 1 species